AGGAGUGCUUGCACUCCUGAUGGUUAGCGGCGGACGGGUGAGUAACACGUAGGUAACCUGCCCAUAAGACUGGGAUAACCCACGGAAACGUGAGCUAAUACCAGAUAGGCAUUUUCCUCGCAUGAGGGAGAUGAGAAAGGCGGAGCAAUCUGCCACUUAUGGAUGGACCUGCGGCGCAUUAGCUAGUUGGUAAGGUAACGGCUUACCAAGGCGACGAUGCGUAGCCGACCUGAGAGGGUGAUCGGCCACACUGGGACUGAGACACGGCCCAGACUCCUACGGGAGGCAGCAGUAGGGAAUCUUCCGCAAUGGACGAAAGUCUGACGGAGCAACGCCGCGUGAGUGAUGAAGGUUUUCGGAUCGUAAAGCUCUGUUGCCAGGGAAGAACGCCUAGGAGAGUAACUGCUCCUAGGGUGACGGUACCUGAGAAGAAAGCCCCGGCUAACUACGUGCCAGCAGCGG
rnacentral:rRNA from 1 species